rnacentral:rRNA from 1 species
UACGUAGGGGGCAAGCGUUGUCCGGAUUUAUUGGGCGUAAAGAGCGUGUAGGCGGCCAGGUAGGUCAGCUGUGAAAACUCGAGGCUCAACCUCGAGACGUCGGUUGAAACCAUCUGGCUAGAGUCCGGAAGAGGAGAGUGGAAUUCCUGGUGUAGCGGUGAAAUGCGCAGAUAUCAGGAAGAACACCCGUGGCGAAGGCGGCUCUCUGGGACGGUACUGACGCUGAGACGCGAAAGCGUGGGGGAGCGAACAGG